GAUGAACGCUAGCUACAGGCUUAACACAUGCAAGUCGAGGGGCAGCGGUAUCGAAAGCUUGCUUUCGGUAGCCGGCGACCGGCGCACGGGUGAGUAACGCGUAUCGAACCUGCCUCAUACUCGGGAAUAGCCUUGCGAAAGUAAGAUUAAUGCCCGGUGUUUUCAGAGUCCCGCAUGAGGCUUUGAACAAAGAUUUAUCGGUAUGAGAUGGCGAUGCGUCCCAUUAGCUUGUUGGCGGGGUAACGGCCCACCAAGGCAUCGAUGGGUAGGGGUUCUGAGAGGAAGGUCCCCCACAUUGGAACUGAGACACGGUCCAAACUCCUACGGGAGGCAGCAGUGAGGAAUAUUGGUCAAUGGGCGGAAGCCUGAACCAGCCAAGUAGCGUGCAGGAAGACGGCCCUCCGGGUUGUAAACUUCUUUUAGUUGGGAAUAAAACGGGGCUCGUGAGCCCCCUUGCAUGUACCAUCAGAAAAAGGACCGGCUAAUUCCGUG
rnacentral:rRNA from 1 species